GAUGAACGCUGGCGGCGUGCCUAAUACAUGCAAGUCGAGCGAACAGAUGAGGCGCUUGCUCCUCUCACGUUAGCGGCGGACGGGUGAGUCACGCGUGUAUAACCUCCCUGUCAGACUGGGGUAACUUCGGGAAACCGGAGCUAAUACCGGAUAAUAUCUUGAACCGCAUGGUUCAAUAGUGAAAGACGGUUUUGCUGUCACUUCUCGAUGGAUCCGCGCCGCCUUAGCUAGUUGGUACGGUCACGGCUUACCACGGCAACCAUGCGUAGCCGACCGGAGAGAGGGAUAGCCCACACGGGAGCUGAGACAGAGUCCAGAGGCCUACGGUAGGCAGCAGUAGGGAAUGUUCCGCAAUGGGCGAAAGCCUGACGGAGCAGCGGGGCGUGUGUGAUGAAGGUGUUCGGAGCGGAAAGCUCUGUUAUGAGGGGAGAACAGAUGUGGAAGGAACUAUGCACGGCGUGACGGUACCUAAUCAGAAAGCCACGGCUAACUACGUG
rnacentral:rRNA from 1 species